UGGAUAAAAGUAAAAGGAUAUAGAAGACUUAGAUCACUACGAGAUGAAAGCAGAGCCCAUUAGUGGGAAAAAGUUGGAGGAUGAAGGAAUUGCAAAAGAAAAUUUGGCAAUAUUAGAGAAAUUAGGAAGACUGAAAGGCAAGAGCAUUUAACUGCGGUUGACCCUGCUAGUCCUUUGCACAGUGAUCUUCAGAUCUUAAAAGAAAAAGAAGGCAUAGGAGAUACUUUGCUUAACUUAUCUUUUAAGAAACUGUUGUCGUUGUCAACUGGGUUGUCUUCCUGAAGUAUGAAUCCGCCAAUGGCUCCUGACACCAG
rnacentral:lncRNA from 1 species